rnacentral:rRNA from 1 species
CCUACGGGAGGCAGCAGUGGGGAAUUUUGGACAAUGGGCGAAAGCCUGAUCCAGCAAUGCCGCGUGAGUGAAGAAGGCCUUCGGGUUGUAAAGCUCUUUUGUCAGGGAAGAAACGGUGAGAGCUAAUAUCUCUUGCUAAUGACGGUACCUGAAGAAUAAGCACCGGCUAACUACGUGCCAGCAGCCGCGGUAAUACGUAGGGUGCAAGCGUUAAUCGGAAUUACUGGGCGUAAAGCGUGCGCAGGCGGUUUUGUAAGUCUGAUGUGAAAUCCCCGGGCUCAACCUGGGAAUUGCAUUGGAGACUGCAAGGCUAGAAUCUGGCAGAGGGGGGUAGAAUUCCACGUGUAGCAGUGAAAUGCGUAGAUAUGUGGAGGAACACCGAUGGCGAAGGCAGCCCCCUGGGUCAAGAUUGACGCUCAUGCACGAAAGCGUGGGGAGCAAACAGGAUUAGAUACCCUGGUAGUCCACGCCCUAAACGAUGUCUACUAGUUGUCGGGUCUUAAUUGACUUGGUAACGCAGCUAACGCGUGAAGUGACCGCCUGGGGAGUUACGGUUGCAAGAUUAAAACUUCAAAAGGAAUUUGACGGGCNGAGACGNGCGACGGACGACGACGAGGGAGGAGG